CCUACGGGUGGCAGCAGUGGGGAAUAUUGGACAAUGGGCGAAAGCCUGAUCCAGCCAUGCCGCGUGUGUGAAGAAGGCCUUCGGGUUGUAAAACACUUUCAGUGGGGAAGAAAGCCUUGGGGCUAAUACCCUCGAGGAAGGACAUCACCCACAGAAGAAGCACCGGCUAACUCCGUGCCAGCAGCCGCGGUAAUACGGAGGGUGCGAGCGUUAAUCGGAAUUACUGGGCGUAAAGCGCGCGUAGGCGGUCUGAUAAGCCGGUUGUGAAAGCCCCGGGCUCAACCUGGGAACGGCAUCCGGAACUGUCAGGCUAGAGUGCAGGAGAGGAAGGUAGAAUUCCCGGUGUAGCGGUGAAAUGCGUAGAGAUCGGGAGGAAUACCAGUGGCGAAGGCGGCCUUCUGGACUGACACUGACGCUGAGGUGCGAAAGCGUGGGUAGCAAACAGGAUUAGAUACCCGGGUAGUC
rnacentral:rRNA from 1 species